rnacentral:snoRNA from 1 species
UGAUGGCAUUUUCCACUGGCAUCUUUUAGUAUUGAUGCUAGAUUUUAGUCCAUCAUAGAAUAAAUACAACUUCUCUUCACACAGUGUCAAUUGCUUUUACGCUUUUAUGUUGGCAUUGCUUUUCUGAAGUUGAACAUAU